rnacentral:rRNA from 1 species
GACGAACGCUGGCGGCGUGCUUAACACAUGCAAGUCGAGCGGAAAGGCUCCUUCGGGGGUACUCGAGCGGCGAACGGGUGAGUAACACGUGAGUAAUCUGCCCUUGGCUUCGGGAUAGCCACCGGAAACGGUGAGUAAUACCGGAUACGACAACUUCUCGCAUGGGAUGGUUGCGCAAAGUUUCUUCGGCCAGGGAUGUGCUCGCGGCCUAUCAGCUUGAUGGUGAGGUAAUGGCUCACCAUGGCUUCGACGGGUAGCCGGCCUGAGAGGGGGACCGGUCGCACUGGGACUGAGACACGGCCCAGACUCCUACGGGAGGCAGCAGUGGGGAAUAUUGGACAAUGGGCGGAAGCCUGAUCCAGCAACGCCGCGUGAGGGAUGACGGCCUUCGGGUUGUAAACCUCUUUCGGUAGGGACGAAGCGCAAGUGACGGUACCUACUAAAGAAGCACCGGCCAACUACGUGCCAGCCGCCGCCGUAA